rnacentral:rRNA from 1 species
AACGAACGUUGGCGGCGUGGAUUAGGCAUGCAAGUCGCGGGAAUCCCCAGCAAUGGGGGGAACCGGCGUAAGGGGCAGUAAGGCAUUGGUACCUACCCCGGGGUUGGGUAUAGCCUGUCGAGAGACGGGGUAAUCCCCAGCGAUGUCGCAAGACCAAAGCUCCGGCGCCCCGGGAGGGGCCCAUGUGGUAUUAGCUGGUUGGUGGGGUAACGGCCCACCAAGGCGAAGAUGCCUAGCGGGUGUGAGAGCACGACCCGCGCCACUGGCACUGAGACACUGGCCAGACACCUACGGGUGGCUGCAGUCGAGGAUCUUCGGCAAGGGGCGCAAGCCUGACCGAGCGACGCCGCGUGUGCGACGAAGGCCUUCGGGUUGUAAAGCACUGUCGAGGGGGAGAAAAGCCGCAAGGCCUGAUCUAUCCCUGGAGGAAGCACGGGCUAAGUUCGUGCCAGCCGCCGCCGUAAUAC